CACAAAUCUGAUUGCUCCUGUUCCACAUGAUUAGCACGUUUUGGGGUGACAUUGUUAGGUCUUCAGACUUGGAAUGAGACUUACACCAGCAGCCCCAUCCCACCCCCAACCCCCUUUCUUGAGCUUUUGACCUUCGACUCAAUGGCACCGCCAGCUUUCCUGCUUCUCCAAAAGGCAUAUAGACAGAUUGUGGGAUUUCUCAACCACCAUAAUCAUAUCUGCAAGAAACAUAUGUACCAGCUGAAUGCCGCUGAAGAAAAUCGUUAUAGGAUUAGCAGUUUUCUGACCCACUUACUAAAAAAAAGCCGAAUCGCUCAAUUGAGACCCCAGGGAAAUGCAGAUUUAUACCUUUGACGUAUUACUUGGUUUUUCUUCAAUUAACUUAAAUUCUGUAACCAGUUUUUAAGUCCUUGCCAUCUUCUUUUCUUUU
ensembl:lncRNA